AUGCACAGAUGCACAACACAUCAAUUAGUUUGACAGAUAAAAUUUCGGAAGAAAGUUCGGUUCGGAAGUCCCGACUUCCAAAUUCUAAGUUGAUGCUACGCCGACAAUACUGAUUCUGCGAGCAAGCAACGGCCGAUCAUUUCCCGCUGUACCGUGAAAUUGAAUUAAUGAUAAAACACUGCUGCAUGCCAACAUCACUGAUGAUUCAAUAUCGUUCGGCGACUAUCAUCGAGCUAUAUCACCAACGGGAUACAAUAAAAAAAUAAACAGGAAAAAAAUGCGAGCAGCAUUAGUUGCAGCGACUUCAGUGAGUAUAGCCGGUUGCAUCAUUGGCGACUGAAAUCUACGUUUAUGAAUCCCGGUCUGAAUAGCAGUUAACCAGUUAAC